GCCGCGGUGCUGGAAUUGGUUUACAGAGGCGACUCAAAAUCGUCUGGGAGAAAUCCCGUGUGGGUUCGAGUCCCACCCGCGGCA
rnacentral:tRNA from 1 species